GCUGCGCCCCUUUCUAAUUGGCUGAUUGGGCGCUUCCUCAGGACUCGGCCAUUCGGAGGGCGCCACAGCGGUCGGCCCUCGGUGUUGGGACUGCAAGUUCUCUAUGCUGUUGGCGACGACAUGUGGCGCCUCCCGGGACUCCUGGGCCGGGCUCUUCCCCGUCUGCUGGGGCCUGGCCUCCGGGGGGUGACCCCCAAGUCCCCCAACCCAGAUGGGCUGCAGGCUGCCUCCUCCAACCUGCUGGUCCCUAUCCCCAGCUUUGACAGGUCGGGCCCCCAUGGCCCAGGCCCAGGCCCAAACAGGGGCCCAAGGUCUCAUGGAUGGAAGGAUGCCUUCCAGUGGAUGUCUACCCGUGUUUUCCCAAACACCUUUUGGGAUGCCAUAUCAUGGGGCACUCUGGCCGUGCUGGCCGUGCAGCUGGCAAGGCAGAUCCAUUUCCAGUCGUCCCUGCCAGCAGGACCUCGGCAAGCGGGGCACUGCUCUUGGCGCUGUCCCCUGGAUCGUUUCCUCUCAUCUCCCUUGUGGCAUCCGCACCAGUCCUCACUUCGGAGACACAUCCUCCCCAGCCCUGAUGGCCCAGCUCCCAGGCAUACUGGUCCCAGGGAACCUGGGCUGGGCCAGAAAGAAGCCUCCACUCAGCCCAAGAAUCUCUCUUCACACAGAUCUUUGAGGGCAUCCGGUCUUCAGGGUCCCUCUGAGGAAGAUCCCAGUGAUCUGGGCUUCCUGCCCACCAGUGGUAGCUUCCAGUCCAGGGCAAAGCCAGCCCAGCCUCAGCCCGCUGGAGAAAAGCAGGAACAAGAUAAAUCAAAAACGCUUUCCCUCGAGGAGGCCGUGACUUCCAUUCAGCAGCUCUUCCAGCUCACCGUUUCCAUUGCUUUCAACUUCCUGGGAACAGAGAACAUGAGAAAUGGGAACUACACGGCAGCCUUUUCUUACUUCCAGAAAGCAGCAGACCAUGGCUACAGCAAAGCACAGUACAACGUGGGCUUGUGUCACGAGCAUGGCAGAGGCACCCCCAGGGACCUUGGCAAGGCAGCCCUUUUCUACCAGCUGGCUGCCAGCCAGGGCCACAGCCUGGCUCAGUACCGCUAUGCCAGGUGUCUGCUGCAAGGCCCGGCCUCCGCGGGGGGCCCUAAGCAGCAGAGGGCAGUGUCCAUGCUGAAGCAAGCUGCAGACUCGGGCUUGAGAGAGGCUCAAGCUUUCCUUGGGGUGCUUUUCACCAAGGAGCCACACUUGGAUGAGCAGAGAGCUGUGAAAUACUUUUGGCUUGCAGCCAACAAUGGGGGUUGUGGUUGUUGUGAGGAUCACAAUCUAUCUGAGGUAACAGGUGUGCGAGCACUUGGUAAGCGGCCCACAGGGAGGGUGCGUCCUCAUGAGCGGUGCGGUUCAGGGAAGUCAGAAGACACAGAGCAGUUUGGGGAGCGGCAGAUGUCAGGGGGCAUUGGCAUCCAGCCAAUCCAUUGGACCCAGAGUGUGUUCUCCUGAGUAUUAGUUCCAGGGGGUGUUCGUAAGUAAUUCCGGGGAAAACAUGGUCCGCGGGGUUUGGAAAUAUGGAGCCAACUAGGUGUCUUCAAUGCAGGAGAUCUCAGCGCUUUCCCUCCGUGCGAAUCACCAAAAGGGCAUCUCUGGUUUGCUGUAUUCCUCAAGUGUACUUGACCAGAAUUUUUUGGGGGGAGGACCAGGGGUACUGGAUUAAAGCAAGCCGUGUGCAUGGACUGGAAUGCCCUGCGUAGGGGCUCCUGCUCGUCUGUGUUUUCGGGCCAACACAAUGAUAGCUUCAUCGAACUCUUGGGCAUCAGAAUGCUUUAUUUUUACUCAGUGUUAUCUGUCGUUGCUGUCAAAAGGGGACCAGUGUCACCAGCCGGUACUGCCCCUAUGCCUGCCUGCCUUGUUAGAUCCCCAGAGCCUUCCUCGUGUUCUUCAUGUGCUGGACAAGCCCAGGGGCCCCUUGGCCUGCUUUAGUCACCCAGCACGCUGGAAGGAGAAGUGCGCAGAGGAUUGCUUGGUAACGCGGUGUUGGGCACAGUGCUCACACUCACCUACUCCAGGAGGAAUUGUGUCUCUGUAGGUUUGUACUGAGCAGUGUGGCAGGGUGGGUGUUUUGGCCUUAUGAGUGUCUGGUAGUUUCUAAGCUGGUCGAUGGCUAUGAGUCCACCAUAUUUAUUACAUAGACUUUGGCAUGCAUGGACCAGAAACCCUGUCCAGAAAUUUAAUGCUAGAAGGUAGAAGAGAAAUGGGACCGUGGUUGGGAAUCAACAGAGUAUUUUGUUUUUUAAAGUUGGGGGCUUGAAUAUAACGAUAAUAUUCCACCAGAGAGGGAGAGAUUAAUGAUGUGGGCAACUAAAGGUAUGAAAGUAAUAAUAACAGUAAUCUAAGCACUUUCCACGUAGUAACGCAUGUAAUCCUCAUAACAAUGCAGUAAGGUACGUACUGUUAUUAUUUCCCAUUUAUAGAUGAGGAAACCGAGGCACAGAGGCAUAGCAUAAUAUGCCUGAGGUUCCUCCCCAGUAGGUGGUGGAGCCGUGACUGGAACCCAGGCAGUGCUCGGAAGCCCUAACUGCUACUGCCUCGUAGUUCUCAGAGGAGACAGGAUCCCAGAGCCUUCUAACCUUUCAAAGGAGGAACAUUCUUUGUAACGACUCCCAGAGCAGGUACCACUUGGGAAUUUGCUAUGAGAAGGGCCUUGGUGUGCAGAGGAACCUGGGAGAGGCUGUGCGAUGUUACCAGCAGUCAGCGGCUCUGGGCAAUGAACCUGCCCAGGAGAGGUUGCGGAACC